rnacentral:rRNA from 1 species
AGUGAACGCUGGCGGUAGGCCUAACACAUGCAAGUCGAACGGCAGCACAGUAAGAGCUUGCUCUUACGGGUGGCGAGUGGCGGACGGGUGAGGAAUACAUCGGAAUCUACUUUUUCGUGGGGGAUAACGUAGGGAAACUUACGCUAAUACCGCAUACGACCUACGGGUGAAAGCAGGGGAUCUUCGGACCUUGCGCGAUUGAAUGAGCCGAUGUCGGAUUAGCUAGUUGGCGGGGUAAAGGCCCACCAAGGCGACGAUCCGUAGCUGGUCUGAGAGGAUGGUCAGCCACACUGGAACUGAGACACGGUCCAGCCUCCUACGGGAGGCAGCAGUGGGGAAUAUUGGACAAUGGGCGCAAGCCUGAUCCAGCCAUACCGCGUGGGUGAAGAAGGCCUUCGGGUUGUAAAGCCCUUUUGUUGGGAAAGAAAAGCAGCAGGUUAAUACCCCGCUGUUCUGACGGUACCCAAAGAAUAAGCACCGGCUAACUUCGUG